rnacentral:rRNA from 1 species
AUUGAACGCUGGCGGCAUGCUUUACACAUGCAAGUCGAACGGUAACAGGCCGCAAGGUGCUGACGAGUGGCGAACGGGUGAGUAAUGCAUCGGAACGUGCCCAGUCGUGGGGGAUAACGCAGCGAAAGUUGCGCUAAUACCGCAUACGAUCUAUGGAUGAAAGCGGGGGACCGGAAGGCCUCGCGCGCUUGGAGCGGCCGAUGUCAGAUUAGGUAGUUGGUGGGGUAAAGGCUCACCAAGCCGACGAUCUGUAGCUGGUCUGAGAGGACGACCAGCCACACUGGGACUGAGACACGGCCCAGACUCCUACGGGAGGCAGCAGUGGGGAAUUUUGGACAAUGGGCGCAAGCCUGAUCCAGCAAUGCCGCGUGCAGGAAGAAGGCCUUCGGGUUGUAAACUGCUUUUGUACGGAACGAAACGGUCCUGGUUAAUACCCGGGGCUAAUGACGGUACCGUAAGAAUAAGCACCGGUUAACUACGUGCCAGCCGCCGCGGUGAAAC